UUUAUUGGAGAGUUUGAUCCUGGCUCAGGACGAACGCUGGCGGCGUGCCUAAUACAUGCAAGUCGAGCGGGGGCCUUCGGGCCCCAGCGGCGGACG
rnacentral:rRNA from 1 species